CCUACGGGAGGCAGCAGUAGGGAAUCUUCCACAAUGGGCGAAAGCCUGAUGGAGCAACGCCGCGUGGGUGAAGAAGGUCUUCGGAUCGUAAAACUCUGUUGUUAGAGAAGAAAGAGCGUGAGAGUAACUGUUCACGUUUCGACGGUAUCUAACGAGAAAGCCACGGCUAACUACGUGCCAUCAGCCGAGGUAAUACGUAGGUGUCAAGCGUUAUCCGGAUUGAUUGGGCGUAAAGGGAACGCAGGCGGUCUUUUAAGUAUGAUGUGAAAGCCUUCGGCUGAACCGGAGGAGUGCAUUGGAAACGGGGAGACUUGAGUGCAGAAGAGGAGAGUGGAACUCCAUGUGUAGCGGUGAAAUGCGUAGAUAUAUGGAAGAACACCAGUGGCGAAAGCGGCUCUCUGGUCUGUAACUGACGCUGAGGUUCGAAAGCGUGGGUAGCAAACAGGAUUAGAUACCCGAGUAGUC
rnacentral:rRNA from 1 species